UAUAUUUAAUUCUUCCUGUAUUUCAGACAUAUUUAAAUGAUUUGAAGUCGACCAUCUAUCCUCAACUCUGAGCAUCGGAGGAUAGAACCCAGAACAUUUGACAAAUAACACUAAAGAAUGCUGCAAUAAGAAUUCCUAUUGCUUCACUUGCCAACCACCACUUGCUUAUGGAAAGUUCUAGCAGACUAGGUUGAUGGAUGGUGUGAAAUCUUUUAAAGGAGGGAAGGUUGAUAUCAAUAAACUGGGCACAGUACUGGAAAACAUGGGGAUGAAAGUUUCAGAAAAGGAACUUAAAGAUAUGGCAAAGAAUCUACCAGUGGAUGGAGAAAAGAUUGAUACUGGUGAUCUACAAAAUAUUUUAAGAAACACGGGGAUUGAGCUUACAGAUACGGAGCACAAAGCAACUGCUGAAAACAUUGCCUAUUGAUGAGAUCUCAAAUAUACCUUUUAAUACAGCUCAUGGAAAGGUGUUUCAAAACAGGUUGCUGACAGACAUGAAGCAUAAUAAAAUAGGAAAGGUUAAUAUAAAUAACCUGGCUGCCAUUUUGGAAGUCAUGGACAUCAAGCUUACAGAAGAGGAACUUGAUAUGAUAAAGGAUCUUCUGAGUGAUGAUAGAUACAAAUGAUAUAAAAUGAUUGGACAGUAGCUGAGUUCUUAUCCACUGUUUGGUUCAGGAGAUCACUAAACUGACCAGUUAAAGAGAGGAAGUUUAUGUCAACAACAUGGAAAGAGUUCUAGGAAACAUGGGGAUAGAGCUCAUAGAUAAAGAACUCUCAGC